rnacentral:rRNA from 1 species
CGAGGACGAACGCUGGCGGCGUGCUUAACACAUGCAAGUCGAACGAGGAUAUAUGAGUAGAGAGCUUCGGACAGGAAAUGAAUAUAUUCGAGUGGCGGACGGGUGAGUAACGCGUGAGCAAUCUGUCCCAGACAGGGGGAUAACACUUGGAAACAGGUGCUAAUACCGCAUAAGACCACGGCAUCGCAUGGUGCAGGGGUAAAAGGAGCAAUCCGGUUUGGGGUGAGUUCGCGUCCGAUUAGAUAGUUGGUGAGGUAACGGCCCACCAAGUCGACGAUCGGUAGCCGACCUGAGAGGGUGAUCGGCCACAUUGGAACUGAGAGACGGUCCAAACUCCUACGGGAGGCAGCAGUGGGGAAUAUUGGGCAAUGGGCGAAAGCCUGACCCAGCAACGCCGCGUGAACGAAGAAGUUAUUCGUAAUGUAAAGUUCUUUUAUCUGGGAAGAAAAAACAAAUUGACGGUACCAGAUGAAUAAGCUCCGGCUAACUACGUGCCAGCCGCGGC